rnacentral:rRNA from 1 species
GACGAACGCUGGCGGCGUGCUUAACACAUGCAAGUCGAACGACGUGGCGAACGGGUGAGUAACGCGUAAUCAACCUGCCCUUCAGAGGGGGACAACAGUUGGCAACCACUGCUAAUACCUCAUACUUAAGCAGGUGAUUGCGUCUGAUUAGCUCGUUGGAGGGGUAACGGCCCACCAAGGCGAUGAUCAGUAGCCGGUCUGAGAGGAUGAACGGCCACAUGGGGACUGAGACACGGCCCAGACUCCUACGGGAGGCAGCAGUGGGGAAUCUUCCGAAAUGGACGAAAGUCUGACGGAGCAACGCCGCGUGAGUGAUGACGGCCUUCGGGUUGUAAAGCUAUGUUAAUCGGGACGCGGUACCGGAAUAGAAAGCCACGGCUAACUACGUGCCAGCAGCCGCGGUAAUUC